AUGUAAUGCAACAAUAGAGUGCCGCUAGCCUGCUUGAGAACUGCUGUAUUUGCUGGUAUUCAUUUUCCCAGUUGGGUCAAAUGUUCCCGCCAGAUUCUGUGGCGCGCAGAAUGAGUGAAGUGUUUUCUGUGAGUGAGGAGGCAGUUUGAGAACAUGCUAGUUGAGCCCUUAGCCAACACUUGGCUAAUGGCUAUCGAAGAUAGCUAGCUUACAGACAUGGCAGACAUGAGGGGCAAAAUACCCGACCCAGCAGCAACUACUCCUCCAUCUAAGACAAAGAUACAGAUACAUUUGGGGAGCGAUAGAGCCUGGGCCAAGACGGAGUAAACCUCGGAUUUGCGUUCACAAAGUGGAGAGAAGUAAUGAAGUUGAAUGGGUUAAAAAUCGACCCAGAAUUUGCAUUUUGUUCCGCUUAAAAGCUAAAUUAGACUACAAUAACAAGUCUUGAAGGUGAAGUAUCUAUGCAUUGAAAACUGCAAAGGACUACAUCGACAUCCCAGAACAGAUAGCAGUGUUGAGAAGAAUGGGCUCUCAAUUGGGGCUACCAGGGAGAAUGAUCCUGAGAUCAGAUGACCCAAGACUCCCUGAAGUGCCACCACCAAUGGUUGAGCUUCUACAACUUCGAGGAGACGUAGCCAUUCAAUACAGGGUGCCGUACGCACACCUUUGAGCUGAGAAGGACCGGAGCUUUCCCUGUUGUCAGACUUGGUGGUUCACAUGAAGUGUGAAAACCUACUUAGAAUUGUUGUUGAAAGAGGUGGGCCUACAACCAAACAUAUAAAUCAUAUACAGUGCCUUCAAAAAGUAUUCAUAACCCUUCACUUACUCCACAUUUGUCACGCCCUGAUCGGUUUCACCUGUCUUUGUCAUUGUCUCCACCCACCUCCACGUGUCACCCGUUUUCCCCAUUAUUCAUAGGGUAUUUAUUCCUGUGUUCUAUAUUUGUUUGUUGCCAGUUUGUCUCAUCUUGUCAAGACAACCAGCGUGUUUAUCCGUGCUCCUGCUUUUUCCAAGUCUCUGUUUUUCUAGUCCUCCCGGUUCUGACCUUUGCCUGCCCUGACACUGAGCCCGCCUGCCUGACCAUUCAGCCUGCCCUGACCUCGAGCCUGCCUGCCACUCUGUACCUCCUGGACUCUGACCUGGUCUAUGAUCUUUUGCCUGUCCACGACCUGUCUCUUUGCCUGCCCCUUGUUUUAUAAUAAAUAUCACAGACUCUAACCAUCUGCCUCCUGUGUCUGCAUCUGGGUGUCGCCCUGUAUCGUUAUAACUUUUUGUUGUGUUACAGCCUGAAUUCAACAUUGAUUAAAUACAAAAAAAUCACACCAAUCUACACACAAUACCCCAUAAUGACAAAGUGAAAAC
rnacentral:lncRNA from 1 species